rnacentral:rRNA from 1 species
AUUGAACGCUGGCGGCAUGCUUUACACAUGCAAGUCGAGCGGCAGCGCGGGGGCACCCCUGGCGGCGUGCGGCUUACGGGUGAGUAAUGCAUCGGAACGUAUCCUCGCGUGUGGGCUAACUCCGCGAUAGUUGGGCUUAUACCCCAUGAGCUCUGAGUAGUAAAGCGGGGGACCUUCGUGGGCCUCCUUCUGGAUGAUCAGCCUAUGUCCGAUUAGCUUGUUGGUGGGGUAGAGGCUUAACAAGGCGACGAUCGGUAGCUGGUCUGAGAGGAUGAUCAGCCACACUGGGAGUGAGAGACGGCCCAGACACCUGAGGGAGGCAGCAGUGGGGAAUUUUGGAGGAAGGGGGCAAGGCUGAUCCAGCCAUGCCGCGUGAGUGAAGAAGGACUUCGGGUGGUAAAGCUAUUUCGGAAGGAACGAAAUAAGGGGGACUAAUACGCCUAUAAGAUGACGGUACCGUAAGAAGAAGCACCGGCUAAAUACGUG